UGAAGAUGGCGACCGGCGCACGGGUGAGUAACACGUAUCCAACCUGCCGAUAACUCCGGAAUAGCCUUUCGAAAGAAAGAUUAAUACCGGAUGGCAUACGAAUAUCGCAUGAUAUUUUUAUUAAAGAAUUUCGGUUAUCGAUGGGGAUGCGUUCCAUUAGUUUGUUGGCGGGGUAACGGCCCACCAAGACUACGAUGGAUAGGGGUUCUGAGAGGAAGGUCCCCCACAUUGGAACUGAGACACGGUCCAAACUCCUACGGGAGGCAGCAUG
rnacentral:rRNA from 1 species